GUCAGUUUGUCCGAGUGGUUAAGGAGAAAGACUUGAAAUCUUUUGGGCUUCGCCCGCACAGGUUCGAAUCCUGUAGCUGACG
rnacentral:tRNA from 1 species